GGACGCAAGUCUGAUGGAGCAACGCCGCGUGAGUGAAGAAGGCUUUCGGGUCGUAAAACUCUGUUGUUGGAGAAGAAUGGUCGGCAGAGUAACUGUUGUCGGCGUGACGGUAUCCAACCAGAAAGCCACGGCUAACUACGUGCCAGCAGCCGCGGUAAUACGUAGGUGGCAAGCGUUAUCCGGAUUUAUUGGGCGUAAAGCGAGCGCAGGCGGUUUUUUAAGUCUGAUGUGAAAGCCCUCGGCUUAACCGAGGAAGUGCAUCGGAAACUGGGAAACUUGAGUGCAGAAGAGGACAGUGGAACUCCAUGUGUAGCGGUGAAAUGCGUAGAUAUAUGGAAGAACACCAGUGGCGAAGGCGGCUGUCUGGUCUGUAACUGACGCUGAGGCUCGAAAGCAUGGGUAGCGAACAGGAUUAGAUACCCUGGUAGUCCAUGCCGUAAACGAUGAAUGCUAGGUGUUGGAGGGUUUCCGCCCUUCAGUGCCGCAGCUAACGCAUUAAGCAUUCCGCCUGGGGAGUACGACCGCAAGGUUGAAACUCAAAGGAAUUGACGGGGGCCCGCACAAGCGGUGGAGCAUGUGGUUUAAUUCGAAGCAACGCGAAGAACCUUACCAGGUCUUGACAUCUUU
rnacentral:rRNA from 2 species